rnacentral:rRNA from 1 species
AGCCACAAGUUAACAUUUGGGGUCUAACCUGCCCAAUGUGCAAUUAAAAAGAUGAAUGGCCGCGGUACCCUGACCGUGCUAAGGUAGCGUAAUCAGUUGGCUUUUAAAUGGAGUCAGGAAUGAAUGGAAUAACCGGGUUUAGCUGUCUCCUUCCUAAUCAAUUGAAUUUACUGUUCAAGUGAAAAAGCUUGAGGAAAGAAAGGGGACGAGAAGACCCUUAGAAUUUUUUUUAGUGGGAAAUUUUUUUUCUAAUGAUUUUGUUGGGGCGACAUGGAAAUAUAUAAAAACUUUCCUUUUUCACUUGCCGAUUUUGUUAAGUUAGGAUAAAUUACCUGAGGGAUAACAGCAUAAUUCUACAGAUGAGUUUGUGACCUCCAUGUUGGACUAGGGAAUUAGCAAGUUAGCCGUUUGUUGUGUGGGUUCCGUUCCAACUAUAAUCCCU